AUACGGAGGGUGCGAGCGUUAAUCGGAAUUACUGGGCGUAAAGCGUGCGUAGGCGGUUUGCUAAGUCAGAUGUGAAAGCCCCGGGCUUAACCUGGGAACUGCAUUUGAUACUGGCAGACUAGAGUAUGAUAGAGGGGGGUAGGAUUCCUGGUGUAGCGGUGAAAUGCGUAGAUAUCAGGAGGAAUACCAGUGGCGAAGGCGGCCCCCUGGAUCAAUACUGACGCUGAGGUACGAAAGCGUGGGGAGCGAACAGGAUUAGAUACCCUUGUAGUCC
rnacentral:rRNA from 1 species